rfam:Enterococcus sp. 7F3_DIV0205 scaffold00001, whole genome shotgun sequence.
GGUUAAUAAUUAACUGUACCGAAGACAGUAGGUGACGCAAGUCUUAAUUUCCUACCGAGGACAAUUGUUGAUACAUACAAUUACGUCCCUCUAUGUCAACGGUGGCAUGGAGUUUUGUUGUUUUACAC